rnacentral:rRNA from 1 species
CAAGAGGGGUUUACUGUAGCAACGUGCGAGUGCACCCAGACAAGCUCAAAUUUGAAAUCUGGCUGUCUUCGAUAGUCCGAGUUGUAAUCUAUAGAAGCGUUUUCCGUGCUGAACUGUGUCUAAGUCCCUUGGAACAGGGUAUCAAAGAGGGUGAUAAUCCCGUACUUGACACAAUCAUCAGUGCUCUGUGAUACGUUCUCUACGAGUCGAGUUGUUUGGGAAUGCAGCUCAAAAUGGGUGGUAAAUUCCAUCUAAAGCUAAAUAUUGGCGAGAGACCGAUAGCGAACAAGUACCGUGAGGGAAAGAUGAAAAGCACUUUGGAAAGAGAGUUAAACAGUACGUGAAAUUGUUGAAAGGGAAACGAUUGAAGUCAGUCGUGUUCAUUGGAUUCAGCUAGUUCUUCUAGUCUACUUCCUUUGAACGGGUCAACAUCAGUUUUGUCCGGUGGAUAAAGGAUUUAGGAAUGUGACUCCCUCGGGAGUGUUAUAGCCUAGGUUCACAUACACUGGGUGAGACUGAGGACUGCAGCUCGCCUUUUGGCCGGGGUUCGCCCACGUUCGAGCUUAGGAUGUUGACAUAAUGGCUUUAAACGACCCGUCUUGAAACCACGGACCA